UACACUGAGGUGGUAUACUGUGCGAUUCAGUUUAAUCUGAUUAGGAAUUUUCUUACUAUUUUGAUUUGUUAAAUAUUAUUGGAGAAGUAACUUUGUUUAUAGUAAUAUAUUGAAAUUAAAGGUUUAGUGAUAGUAAAUUAGUACCGUGAGGGAAUGUUGAAAUAUUUUGAAAUAUUUUGCUUUGUGUAAGUAUAUUUUAUUUAUAGUACCUUUUGUAUCAGGGUCGGUCUAAUGUAUUCAAUUUAUUUUUAUUUCUCGAUUUUACAAGAGCUGAUUUAUUAAUUUGGUUGCUGUGGCAUAAGUAUCAUUAAUAUUUAUCAGGGAAGAUAUUUCAUUCGUUUGUAAGGGUAUCUAGUUCCUUAGGAGUUAAAUUUAAUUUAGUUUUAUUAUUUAUUUAUUUUAUUCUUAAAAUAAUUAUUUAAUAAAUUAUUUAUUGUAGGGGCUAAUCUCUGCUUUUUUCUAUAAUUAUUAUUUUUUAGUUUUAGUAGGGUUAAAAUCAUCCUUCUUAUAAUUACGUUAUAGUGUGGUCUAUUUUAUGUUGAUUUAAUUAAGUUUAGUAUAAUACUAAGGUGUUUUGUUGAUCUUUUUAUCAUUAUUAAUAGUGGUUGAAUUAGUAUAUAUUUAUUGUUUUGAGUUAUUAUUUUGUGAUCUUUUUUUAAGGAACUCGGCAAAUAUAGUUGCUCGCCUGUUUAUCAAAAACAUGUCCUCUUGUUUUAUUAUAUGAGGUCAAGCCUGCCCGGUGAUAAUUAUUUAACGGCCGCGGUAUUUUGACCGUGCAAAGGUAGCAUAAUCAUUAGUCUUUUAAUAGGGGGCUGGAAUGAAGGGCUUGACGAGGCUCUAACUGUCUCAAUUAAAUAAGUUAAAAUUUAGCUUUUGAGUUAAAAGGCUCAAAUUCUUUUGGAAGACGAGAAGACCCUAUAGAGCUUUAAUGGUCAAUUUUAAUGGCUGUUGUGUUUCAUUUUUACUGCUGUUGAUUAGACUUUUUUGUUGGGGCGACAAAAGAUAUAUAUUUAACUUUUAUUAUUUAUUAUACAUUUAUUUAUGAUUCUUAGAUCCAUUAUUAUUGAUUAGUAGAAUAAGUUACCUUAGGGAUAACAGCGUAAUCUUCCUCCAGAGCUCGAAUUUACAGGAAGGCUUGCGACCUCGAUGUUGGAUUAAGAUAAUGAUUGGGUGCAGUAGCCCAAUUAAUAGGUCUGUUCGACCUUUAAAUUCUUACAUGAUCUGAGUUCAGACCGGUUUAAGCCAGGUCGGUUUCUAUCUCCAAUUUUUUUGUAGUUUUUAGUACGAAAGGACCAUUAUUACAAGAUAAUCUUUUUUUUUGACUGCUAUUA
rnacentral:rRNA from 1 species